rnacentral:rRNA from 1 species
AUUGAACGCUGGCGGCAUGCCUAACACAUGCAAGUCGAGCGGAGCGGCGGACGGGUGUGUAAUGCCUAGGAAUCUGCCUGGUAGUGGGGGAUAACGUCCGGAAACGGGCGCUAAUACCGCAUACUAUCAGCUGAGCCUAGGUCGGAUUGGCUAGUUGGUGGGGUAACGGCCCACCAAGGCGACGUUCCGUAACUGGUCUGAGAGGAUGGUCAGGCACACUGGAACUGAGACACUGUCUAGACUCCUGCGGGAGGCAGCAGUGGGAGAUAUUGGACAAUGGGGGAGAGCCUGAGCCAGCCAUGCCGCGUGUGUGAAGAAGGCCUUAGGGUGGUAGAGUACUUUCGGCGGGGUGGCGUUACCCGCAGAAGAAGCACCGACUAACUCCGUGACAGCAGCCGCGGUAAUUC